CAAGAUUUAAGAGUUGUUAAGCCCGCAACUCUUUUAGACGAUUGUGAGCUAGACGAAGUAGGGGUUGGAAUAUUUGGCAUAGCAUGCUCUAAGGCAACUUUAUAAGCAUUAUAAACUGUUUGACCAUUAAUUUUAAUUGAUGCUUUUGCAUCUGCAAGGGUAGCAAUUUCCUCGUUUGAAUAUCUAAAGCCUUAUAAAUAUUUGAUACCAAAAAUGAGGACCCCAAUUUCAUUGUAGGAUUUAACAUUGCAGCAACACCAAAAAUAAGAGGGAUUGGGAAAAAAUAUUUUUUAAAUUUUUGUUUCAUUUAUAGCAAAUUCAUGAAUAUCCCCACCCUCGCCAAAUUCAACAAACAAAUCAGCUAGUGCGACAACAAUAUAAACUAAAUAGUUUAAAAUAGUAGGAUAAUAUUACCCAAAAAAUACAUUAGUAGAAACUUGAAAAUGUUCUAAAAAUCUAAAAGAAUUUUAACAUUCGUCCAAUCUUGGGUAGAGGAUAAUAUUGCCUAGAAAAUGCAUUUGUAGCAACUUGGAAAUGUUCUAAAAAAUCUAAAAGAAUUUUAACAUUUGUCCAAUCUUGAGUAGUAAGCAUUUCAUUAUCAUCCUCACCACCUACCCGAGAAUUAAACGUUGCAUUAAUUGGGUUUCUAUAUUCAUAUGCAACUACUAAAAUUUCGUACAUGCAAUUCCAUCUAGUCGGGCAAGGUUUAGGAACCUUUCUUUCUCAAGGCGUCAUCACAUUUUUCAAAAUACUCUCUAAGUCUAUUUCUACGGUUUGAAUAAAAAAGCCAAUUAAGAGCCAUUCGAACAUUUUCAAUUUCUAUGUUUAUCUAAGGCCAUAUUCAUCACAUUUUUUAAAAUACUCUCUAAGUCUAGUUCUACGGUUUGAAUAAAAAAUCCAAUUAAGAGUCAUUCAAACCUUUUCAAUUUCUAUGUUUAAAAUUCUCAUACUAUCACCGACAAUUAAAUGAUAAAUAUGACAAUACAUCUAACAUGAAAAAUAUUACUAAAUGCAGGAUUUAGUAUUUUUGUAAGCAUGUCUAUAGCACUAGUUUUACUACAAGCAUUAUCCAUAGAAAUUGCCAUUAUUUUAUCGCUAAAUCAAAAAUAUCUACAAAUGUAUGAAACAGUGUUAGCUAUAAACUUACAUGUGUGACGUGAAUUAAUUAUUUUACACGCAAUUAUACGUUUUUGCAUUGUCCAGUCCUCAUCUAUCCAAUGACUUGUAACAGUUAAAU
rnacentral:lncRNA from 1 species